rnacentral:rRNA from 1 species
AUUGAACGCUGGCGGCAGGCCUAACACAUGCAAGUCGGACGGUAGCACAGAGGAGCUUGCUCCUCGGGUGACGAGUGGCGGACGGGUGAGUAAUGUCUGGGGAUCUGCCCGAUAGAGGGGGAUAACCACUGGAAACGGUGGCUAAUACCGCAUAACGUCGCAAGACCAAAGAGGGGGACCUUCGGGCCUCUCACUAUCGGAUGAACCCAGAUGGGAUUAGCUAGUAGGCGGGGUAAUGGCCCACCUAGGCGACGAUCCCUAGCUGGUCGGCGAGGGUGACCAGCCACACUGGAACUGAGACACGGUCCAGACUCCUACGGGAGGCAGCAGUGGGGAAUAUUGCACAAUGGGCGCAAGCCUGAUGCAGCCAUGCCGCGUGUAUGAAGAAGGCCUUCGGGUUGUAAAGUACUUUCAGCGGGGAGGAAGGCGGUGCGGUUAAUAACCGCGCCGAUUGACGUUACCCGCAGAAGAAGCACCGGCUAACUCCGUGCCAGCAGCCGCCGUAA